rnacentral:lncRNA from 1 species
AGAACGGCCGAUAGAAAGAUCAGAUCAGGGUUGUUGGGGAAAGCACGUGGAGAAACAGCAGCCCCACGACACACAGCUGAAUGAACACAGCAAAUUCCGGGACGGUAUCGGUGGGCCCCAGCUCUCCUGAAUCAGAAUGCCUGUGCCUUCCCGUUGAAUGGAUCUGGAGAGCGAUCCAGGCACGGAAUUUAAAAACAAAUUCACUAAAAACAAAGAACGCAAACAAAGAUUUCUCUCACAAGCAGCCCAGAGCUGAGAAGCACUGAUGAUAAUAAAGGC